CCUACGUGAGGCUGCAGUGAGGAAUAUUGGUCAAUGGACGAGAGUCUGAACCAGCCAAGUAGCGUGAAGGAUGACUGCCCUAUGGGUUGUAAACUUCUUUUAUAUGGGAAUAAAGUGUUCCACGUAUGGGACUUUGUAUGUACCAUAUGAAUAAGGAUCGGCUAACUCCGUGCCAGCAGCCGCGGUAAUACGGAGGAUCCGAGCGUUAUCCGGAUUUAUUGGGUUUAAAGGGAGCGUAGGUGGGUUGUUAAGUCAGUUGUGAAAGUUUGCGGCUCAACCGUAAAAUUGCAGUUGAUACUGGCAUUCUUGAGUACAGUAGAGGUGGGCGGAAUUCGUGGUGUAGCGGUGAAAUGCUUAGAUAUCACGAAGAACUCCGAUUGCGAAGGCAGCUCGCUGGACUGCAACUGACACUGAGGCUCGAAAGUGUGGGUAUCAAACAGGAUUAGAUACCCGUGUAGUC
rnacentral:rRNA from 1 species